AAGUCGUAACAAGGUCUCCGUUGGUGAACCAGCGGAGGGAUCAUUACCGAGUUUACAAACUCCCAAACCCCAAUGUGAACCUUACCUACAUGUUGCUUCGGCGGGACGCCCCGCGGCGCCGCAAGGCCGCCCGGAACCAGGCGCCCGCCGGAGACCCCAAACUCUUGUUUUAUACAGCGGUAUUCUUCUGAGUUAAACAAAACAAAUGAAUCAAAACUUUCAACAACGGAUCUCUUGGUUCUG
rnacentral:misc_RNA from 1 species